GUCAGGGAGGGCGGGGUCUUUGUGGUGGGCGGGGCCUUAGAUGGGACGAUAGACGUGAACUUUGUCAGUUGUUGUUCAGACAGUCAGUGCUGCUGCAGGAAACUGAUCUCAGAACCAUCACCCAUUGGCCCCUGCAGAACCCCCUGCAGCCAUGGACAGCACCCCGAGGAGGUGGGUUCUGAAGCCUCUGUCUCCCCUGCUGCAACCCUCAGACCUGCGGACGAUUCCUAGCCCCACCCGAGGUGAUGCCCCUGACCCGGACGACCCAGUCUUCAGUUCAGACAUCAUCUCAGUGACUGGCAACCAUUUGUCGGUGGUCGUCUCCUCUCACCCGGGUGACAGGUCCCAGGACAUGGUGAUCCAGGCCCGGCAGGCCAUAGUGUCGCAGGACGGUGGGAGUAUCAACGACGAUUGGCAACCCAGCAGUCCCAGCAGCAGCUCGGGCUCUCACUGUGGUUUCUACUCCUUUGUGGAGGAUGCAGCGAGUCCAGAGGCAGAGCUGAACGAAGCCUGGAUGGUCUCAUCACAGCGGCAGGCACAGCUGCUCACCCUGAAGGAGGAGAACGUUUUCAAACUACAGACAUACACUAGCAGCAAGAAGCCACAUAGUCUGUUCUCAGAGAGCAAGGAAGACUCACAGUACAACGUGGAUCCAGAGAGUGUCAUCAAAGUGGUGGGGGAGCAAGAGGAGAAGCAGCUCCGCAAGGACAUCAUUCGCAGCCAAGCACCAAAGAAGAACCUGAUGUUCAAUGAUCAGCUGCAUGCGUCUGAGAAUCUUGAUCUGAGCAGAUCUACAAACAAAUUGAUCGAAGGUUUCAGUGUGAGCUACAGUCCCGUCGGCUCCAGACCAGAAUCUACUCACACUGCUGAAUUUGGGACAGUUGACAAGGAGCAGAUCAACUUCAGUGCUGCCCGACAACAGUUCCUGAAGAUGGAGCAGGAGCUGUUGACUACAGUCCUCAACCCUCUGACAUCAAACAUACCGCCGCACUCGUCUUUGCAUCAAGAUCCUGAUGUGUCUUCAUGGAGGCAGGUGGAGACAUUUGACAGUGUGGAACUGAGUGAAGAUACAACUCUGUUUAAACCAUCUGAAGAAGUUGACACCAACUCAGAGUGGAAGAGGACGGAGUGCAGGACUGAAGAGAGUCUGAGCAGGCAGAGCAGUGUGUUUGAUGAUCUGGGCUCCGGUCUGGAGGAGCUGUUGGUGGAGGUGGGCGGCAGCUACAUUAGUGACGGAGGUGUGUUCAAUGACAAUAAUCAGCAAGAAAACAGGAGCUGCAAGUCCACAACUGAGUAUGAGACUCCGAUUGAAAGGGAGAUCCGGUUAGUUCAGGAACGCGAAGAGAACCUGCGGCAUUCUCGAGGCCUGAAGCACAGUGACAGCAGGGCGGAGAUGGUUGAAAUCAAAACCAAACGUUUACAGGCAUCGCUAACACCCAUCAAAGCCAGAGAAAAGACUCCAGUGAGCUUCAUCAUUCAGCAAAAGAAGGAGAUCCAGAGUAGAGAGGAACCUCUGCAGCAGGGUGGGAUCCUGGGAGGAGAUUCUCAGGACAGGAGGGCAGAGGAAAGACCUCCAUCUGUGUCUGGUGAGACGGAUGUCUUCUUGUCUCCCUGCUGUCCUCAUCGACACCCUGAAGAAACAGAGUUGUCCAUCAGUCAAAUGAAUUUAGCUUCUUCCUCCUUCACUGUGGGGGACUUGAGGUUCCAAGGCUCAAGACGUUUGCACCAGAAUCAAAUGACUUCCUUAUCACCCUACUCCUCUUCCGCCUCAUCCCCGACACUGACACCUCAGCAGAAGAUUACCUGGACCACACCUCAUCAGUGGAAGGAAAACCUGGAGUUCAGUGGCCUGCAGCCCAGAGGACAAGGAGCUCCAGAUUUCAUAGAGAAGGAGAUCAAGGAGGCCCUGAGACGGGAGCAGGAGCUGAAGGAGUCCAGAGCAAAAAACAAUCAACAGCUCUUCUCUCCAACUCCUCUGCUGGAACAAGCAACCAAGAUGGCCACCAGUCAGUUCUUCACACAUGCAAAUACAGAUGAACCUGUCCCUCUGUCCUCACCGUCCCCUCGUGCUUCUGUCCGUCUGCCCUCCAUCUCCUUCAUCACUGCUCAGCCCUGGACCUCCUCCUCCUCCUCCACCUCCCCCGCGGUGGUACCGCUGGCCCCGCCCCCACUCAGGGGCCUGUCAGAGACGUUACUGCAGGACUUGGAGGACAGAAGAGUUCAGCUGAAACCGGACGAGAGCUCAUAUGCGGGAAUCCAGCCGAUAGACGACGUGAACAACGAGUGCAGGGUUCGGAGGAGUGGUGUAGUGUGGGAGAACUUUGGUAGGUUGAAGACCAACCGGGCUGCUGCAUUCUGGAUGAGCUCCAGUCGUCCAGACGUGAGACGACAGGAACCUGCACCAACACCUGCGUCGUCUUCUCUGUGAGGAAUGGACAAAUCGUCGAGAUGUUGUGGAGGAUGGAGAACAUCUGGUCGUCUCCAUGGUGACGAGAGGUCGUUGGUGGGAGGUGAAACAUCUGAGUCCAGAUUAGUCUUCAGGUGCAUCGACAUUCACUGAGAAAUGUCACCAGACAUGCAGAGAUUCUGCUGCCACCUGGUGUCAGAUUGUGGAAAGGACUAAUGGGUUGGGUGUCAUCUGCGUAGCUAUGGUAGGAAAAGCCAUCUGCGUGAAUGACAGAGUCUAAUGACCUGGUGAACAGAGAGAAGAGGACGGGCCCAGGACAGAGCCCAGAGGGUCUCCAGGAACCAGGACGUGAAGAGGUUGUUGAGUCGACUCGAGUCAUUCGACAUAAAAACCAGCGAGCUCUGCAAUGGGAGGCCGGAGUCUUUGCCAACCAGGAGAUCCAGGAACAUGAUCUGCAGAGGGACUUUAAACCAGAACCUUCCCAGGCGAAAG